rnacentral:rRNA from 1 species
GAUGAACGCUGGCGGCGUGCCUAAUACAUGCAAGUCGAGCGAACGGACGAGAAGCUUGCUUCUCUGAUGUUAGCGGCGGACGGGUGAGUCACACGUGGAUAACAUAACUCUCCGACUGGGAUACCUUCGGGAAACCGUAGCUACUACCGGAUAAUAUUUUGCACUGCAUGGUUCCAACGUGAAAGAAGGUCUUGCUGUCACUUAUAGAUGGAUCAGCGCUGCAUUCGCUAGUUGGUAAGGUAACGGCUUACCAAGGCAACGAUGCAUAGACGACCUGAGAGGGUGAUCGGCCACACGGGAACUGAGACUCGUUCCAGACUCCUACGGGAGGCAGCAGUAGGGAAUCUUCCGCAAUGGGCGAAAGCCUGACGGAGCAACGCCGCGGGAGUGAUGAAGGUCUUCGGAUCGUAAAACUCUGUUAUUAGGGAAGAACAAAUGUGUAAGUACCUGGGCACAUCUUGACGGUACCUAAUCAGAAAGCCACGGCUAACUACGUG